AUGCUUGAGAGCUUCGGCGAUGCUACGGGCCUGAAGAUAAACAACACCAAGUCUACGGCAUCUCCGAUUUGCUGUUACGACGUCGACGUUAGCACGAUGCUCCAGUCUUUUGGGGGUCCGAUCGCGCAAUUCUCGACCAGAUACCUGGGGCUUCCACUCACAAUUGGCCGGCUUAGGCUAGUGCAUCUUCACUUCAUACUAGAUAGAAUUCGGGCUAGAUUAGCGGGCUGGAAAGGGAAAAUGCUCUCCAUGGCCAGGCGCAGAGUCCUCGUCAGAUGCUUCCUCACCACCAUGCCAAUGUUUGCCCUUACGGCCCUCAAAAUCCCAGUGAAGCUGCUGAAAGAAAUAGACAAAUGCAGACGUCGCUUCCUCUAGGGACACGAUCAGGAGCUCACCGGCGGCAGCUGCAAAGUGAACUGGGCUCGGGUCUGCUCCCCGAUCGAGCACGGAGGCCUUGGCAUCCUCGACCUGUCCAAGUUCAGCCGUGCUCUCCGCCUUCGCUGGCUCUGGCACACCUGGAAAAGCCCGGAGCGCCCAUGGGCAGGAACAGAACUGCCAUGCGAUGCCUCCGAUCACGCCCUCUUUAGUGCGGCAACAAAGGUGACUAUAGGCAAUGGCAAGAUGGCUAGCUUCUGGCACACGGCUUGGAUCGAUGCGCUUCCGCUGAAGAUCCUCCACCCCAACCUCUUCAAACACUCCAAAAGAAAGAACAGAUCGGUGGCGCAGACACUUCUUGAAGACCACUGGGUUUCUGACCUAGCGCACGGCGACGUCAGUUCUAUAGCACAUGACAUGCUCAACUUACACCGCCGGCUGCAAUCGUACCAUCUCUAGGAAGCCAACCAAGACCAAAUCGCCUGGAAGAUUGAAGCAUCCGGUCAGUACACGACUCACUCUGCCUACCGCACCCAGUUCCAAGGCUCUGUGCAGACUCAGUGUCGCGAGCUGAUAUGGAACACCCGCGCGCCUGCAAAGCUGAAGAUCUUUGCCUGACUGCUCCACCAAAACCGGCUCUGGUGCAAUGAUAGGUUGCAGCGGCAAGGAUGGCUGAACAACUACUUCUGUCAGUUAUGCCUCCGAAACCUGGAAAACUCCGAGCAUUUGUUCUGGCUUUGCCCCCUCACGGCGGCAACCUGGAAUGCUAUUGCUGCAUGGAAGUGCUGUCGUGCACUAGGCCAGGAAUCCUGGAUCAGCAACGCAACCUCUCUUGACAAGUUCAAGGCUAUGUCAGAUGCAACGCCUCCAUCCCACAGGAAAGCGAUCAGGUCUCUCGCAAUGCUUGUCCUUUGGAAGAUCUGGCAAGAGAGGAAUCACUGUAUAUUUAGGGCAAAAGAGGCCAAGGUGGAAGACACUCUCAACGAGAUCAGGAGAGAGCUAAGCCUCUGGCAACAAGCCGGCAUCAAGUCAAUUCAGAGCCCUUUCGGGGACCCGCCGGGAGAGUAG
rnacentral:rRNA from 1 species